rnacentral:rRNA from 1 species
AUUGAACGCUGGCGGCAUGCCUUACACAUGCAAGUCGAACGGCAGCACGGGUGCUUGCACCUGGUGGCGAGUGGCGAACGGGUGAGUAAUACAUCGGAACAUGUCCUGUAGUGGGGGAUAGCCCGGCGAAAGCCGGAUUAAUACCGCGUACGAUCCACGGAUGAAAGCGGGGGACCUUCGGGCCUCGCGCUAUAAGGUUGGCCGAUGGCUGAUUAGCUAGUUGGUGGGGUAGAGGCCUACCAAGGCGACGAUCAGUAGCUGGUCUGAGAGGACGACCAGCCACACUGGGACUGAGACACGGCCCAGACUCCUACGGGAGGCAGCAGUGGGGAAUUUUGGACAAUGGGCGAAAGCCUGAUCCAGCAAUGCCGCGUGUGUGAAGAAGGCCUUCGGGUUGUAAAGCACUUUUGUCCGGAAAGAAAUCCUUGACUCUAAUACAGUCGGGGGAUGACGGUACCGGAAGAAUAAGCACCGGCUAACUACGUG